rnacentral:rRNA from 1 species
AUUGAACGCUGGCGGCAGGCCUAACACAUGCAAGUCGAGCGAGCGGCGGACGGGUGAGUAAUGUCUGGGAAACUGCCUGAUGGAGGGGGAUAACUACUGGAAACGGUAGCUAAUACCGCAUACCAUCAGAUGUGCCCAGGUGGGAUUAGCUAGUAGGUGGGGUAACGGCUCACCUAGGCGACGAUCCCUAGCUGGUCUGAGAGGAUGACCAGCCAGCAUGGAACUGAGACACGGUCCAGCCUCCUACGGGAGGCAGCAGUAGGGAAUAGGGCACAAUGGGCGCGAGCCUUAUGCAGCCAUGCCGCGGGUGUGAAGAAGGCCUUCGGGUUGUAAAGCACUUUCAGCGGGGAGGCGUUACCCGCAGAAGAAGCACCGGCUAACUCCGUGCCAGCAGCCGCGGUAAUAC